rnacentral:rRNA from 1 species
UUUAUUGGAGAGUUUGAUCCUGGCUCAGGAUGAACGCUGGCGGCGUGCCUAAUACAUGCAAGUCGAGCGAAUGGAUUAAGAGCUUGCUCUUAUGAAGUUAGCGGCGGACGGGUGAGUAACACGUGGGUAACCUGCCCAUAAGACUGGGAUAACUCCGGGAAACCGGGGCUAAUACCGGAUAACAUUUUGAACCGCAUGGUUCGAAAUUGAAAGGCGGCUUCGGCUGUCACUUAUGGAUGGACCCGCGUCGCAUUAGCUAGGUGGUGAGGUAACGGCUAACAAAGGCAACGAUGCGUAGCCGACC